rnacentral:rRNA from 1 species
GACGAACGCUGGCGGCGUGCCUAAUACAUGCAAGUUGAGCGAUGAAGAUUGGUGCUUGCACCAAUUUGAAGAGCAGCGAACGGGUGAGUAACGCGUGGGGAAUCUGCCUUUGAGCGGGGGACAACAUUUGGAAACGAAUGCUAAUACCGCAUAAUAACUUUAAACAUAAGUUUUAAGUUUGAAAGAUGCAAUUGCAUCACUCAAAGAUGAUCCCGCGUUGUAUUAGCUAGUUGGUGAGGUAAAGGCUCACCAAGGCGAUGAUACAUAGCCGACCUGAGAGGGUGAACGGCCACGUUGGGACAGAGACACGGCCCAAACUCCUACAGGAGGCAGCAGUAGGGAAACUUCGGCAAUGAACGAGAGUCUGACCGGGAAACGCCGCAGGGGUAAAGAGGGAUGUCGGAUCAUAAAACUCUGUUGGUAGGGAAGAACGUUGGUGAGAGUGGAAAGCUCAUCAAGUGACGGUAACUUCACAGAAAGGGACGGCUAACUACGUG